rnacentral:rRNA from 1 species
AGCGAACGCUGGCGGCAGGCCUAACACAUGCAAGUCGAACGAACUCUUCGGAGUUAGUGGCGGACGGGUGAGUAACACGUGGGAACGUGCCUUUUGGUUCGGAAUAACUCAGGGAAACUUGUGCUAAUACCGAAUGUGCCCUUCGGGGGAAAGAUUUAUCGCCAUUAGAGCGGCCCGCGUCUGAUUGGCUAGUUGGUGAGGUAACGGCUCACCAAGGCGACGAUCAGUAGCUGGUCUGAGAGGAUGACCAGCCACACUGGGACUGAGACACGGCCCAGACUCCUACGGGAGGCAGCAGUGGGGAAUCUUGCGCAAUGGGCGAAAGCCUGACGCAGCCAUGCCGCGUGAAUGAUGAAGGUCUUAGGAUUGUAAAAUUCUUUCACCGGGGACGAUAAUGACGGUACCCGGAGAAGAAGCCCCGGCUAACUUCGUG